rnacentral:rRNA from 1 species
CAACGGGUGAGUAACACGUGGGCAACCUGCCCAAANAGGGGAUAACACUUGGAAACAGGUGCUAAUACCGCAUAACCAUAGUUACCGCAUGGUAACUAUGUAAAAGGUGGCUAUGCUACCGCUUUUGGAUGGGCCCGCGGCGCAUUAGCUAGUUGGUGGGGUAAAGGCUUACCAAGGCAAUGAUGCGUAGCCGAACUGAGAGGUUGAUCGGCCACAUUGGGACUGAGACACGGCCCAAACUCCUACGGGAGGCAGCAG